GACGAACGCUGGCGGCGUGCUUAACACAUGCAAGUCGAACGGGAUCCGGGCUUUCGGGUUUGGUGAGAGUGGCGAACGGGUGAGUAACACGUGAGUAACCUGCCCCCUUCUUUGGGAUAACGUCGGGAAAUCGGCGCUAAUACUGGAUAUUCUUGCUGCAUCGCAUGGUGUGGUUUGGAAAGGUUUUCUGGUGGGGGAUGGGCUCGCGGCCUAUCAGCUUGUUGGUGGGGUGAUGGCCUACCAAGGCUUUGACGGGUAGCCGGCCUGAGAGGGUGUCCGGCCACACUGGGACUGAGACACGGCCCAGACUCCUACGGGAGGCAGCAGUGGGGAAUAUUGCACAAUGGGCGCAAGCCUGAUGCAGCGACGCCGCGUGAGGGAUGACGGCCUUCGGGUUGUAAACCUCGUUCAGUAUGGAACAAGGAUCCUUCUUUUGGGGGGUUUGAGGGUACGUGCAGAAGAAGCGCCGGCUAACUACGUG
rnacentral:rRNA from 1 species